UAAGCUUCAGUUAUUAGUAAUAUAGCCUUGUCAUGGCUAAGAGCUUAUGGCUUAA
rnacentral:tRNA from 1 species